rnacentral:rRNA from 1 species
UACGUAGGUGGCAAGCGUUGUCCGGAAUUAUUGGGCGUAAAGCGCGCGCAGGCGGUCCUUUAAGUCUGAUGUGAAAGCCCACGGCUCAACCGUGGAGGGUCAUUGGAAACUGGGGGACUUGAGUGACAGAAGAGGAAAGCGGAAUUCCACGUGGUAGCGGUGAAAUGCGUAGAGAUGUGGAGGAACACCAUGGCGAAGGCGCC